UCGCGGCCUAUCAGCUUGUUGGUGAGGUAAUGGCUCACCAAGGCGACGACGGGUAGCCGGCCUGAGAGGGCGACCGGCCACACUGGGACUGAGACACGGCCCAGACUCCUACGGGAGGCAGCAGUGGGGAAUAUUGCACAAUGGGCGAAAGCCUGAUGCAGCGACGCCGCGUGAGGGAUGACGGCCUUCGGGUUGUAAACCUCUUUCAGCAGGGAAGAAGCGAAAGUGACGGUACCUGCAGAAGAAGCGCCGGCUAACUACGUGCCAGCAGCCGCGGUAAUACGUAGGGCGCGAGCGUUGUCCGGAAUUAUUGGGCGUAAAGAGCUCGUAGGCGGCUUGUCACGUCGGUUGUGAAAGCCCGGGGCUUAACCCCGGGUCUGCAGUCGAUACGGGCAGGCUAGAGUUCGGUAGGGGAGAUCGGAAUUCCUGGUGUAGCGGUGAAAUGCGCAGAUAUCAGGAGGAACACCGGUGGCGAAGGCGGAUCUCUGGGCCGAUACUGACGCUGAGGAGCGAAAGCGUGGGGAGCGAACAGGAUUAGAUACCCUGGUAGUCCACGCCGUAAACGGUGGGCACUAGGUGUGGGCGACAUUCCACGUCGUCCGUGCCGCAGCUAACGCAUUAAGUGCCCCGCCUG
rnacentral:rRNA from 1 species